rnacentral:tRNA from 1 species
ACCAGGAUGGCCGAGUGGUUAAGGCGUUGGACUUAAGAUCCAAUGGGCAAAUGCCCGCGUGGGUUCGACCCCCACUCCUGGUA